rnacentral:rRNA from 1 species
GACGAACGCUGGCGGCGUGCUUAACACAUGCAAGUCGAACGGAAAGGCCCUGCUUUUGUGGGGUGCUCGAGUGGCGAACGGGUGAGUAACACGUGAGUAACCUGCCCUUGACUUUGGGAUAACUUCAGGAAACUGGGGCUAAUACCGGAUCGGAUCUCCUGCUGCAUGGUGGGGGUUGGAUAGUUUCGGCGGUUGGGGAUGGACUCGCGGCUUAUCAGCUUGUUGGUUGGGUAGUGGCUUACCAAGGCUUUGACGGGUAGCCGGCCUGAGAGGGUGACCGGCCACAUUGGGACUGAGAGACGGCCCAGACUGCAACGGGAGGCAGCGGGGGGGAAUAUUGCACAAUGGGCGGAAGCCUGAGGCAGAAACGCCGCGGGCGGGAUGACGGCCUUCGGGGUGUAAACCGCUUUAGCCUGUGACGAAGCGUGAGUGACGGUAAUGGGUAAAGAAGCACCGGCUAACUACGUG